rnacentral:rRNA from 1 species
GAUGAACGCUAGCUACAGGCUUAACACAUGCAAGUCGAGGGGCAGCAUGAACUUAGCUUGCUACGUUUGAUGGCGACCGGCGCACGGGUGAGUAACACGUAUCCAACCUGCCGAUGACUCGGGGAUAGCCUUUCGAAAGAAAGAUUAAUACCCGAUGGCAUAGUUCUUCCGCGUGGUAGAACUAUUAAAGAAUUUCGGUCAUCGAUGGGGAUGCGUUCCAUUAGGUUGUUGGCGGGGUAACGGCCCACCAAGCCUUCGAUGGAUAGGGGUUCUGAGAGGGAGGUCCCCAACAUGGGAACUGAGACACUGUCCAAACUCCUACGGGAGGCAGCAGUGAGGAAGAUUGGGCAAUGGACGAGAGUCUGAACCAGCCAAGUAGCGUGAAGGAUGACUGCCCUAUGGGUUGUAAACUUCUUUUAUACGGGAAUAAAGUGAGGCACGUGUGCCUGUGUGUCGGUACCGGAUGAAUAAGGAUCGGCUAACUCCGUG